rnacentral:rRNA from 1 species
CGAAGAGGUCACACCCGUUCCCAUGCCGAACACGGAAGUUAAGCUCUUCAGCGCCGAUGGUAGUCGGGGGUUUCCCCCUGUGAGAGUAGGACAUCGCCAGGCA